UACCCGCAGCACAAGUGGUGGUCAUUAUUAUUGGGCCUAAAGCGUCCGUAGCUGGCCUGUUAGAUGCCUGGGUAAAUCGAUGCGCUCAACGCAUCGAACUCCGGGUAGACCGGCAGGCUUGGGACCGGGAGAGGCGUGAGCUACUCGAGGGGUAGGGGUAAAAAUCCUGUAAUCCUUCGGGGAGGACCAGUGGCGAAGGCGUCACGCUA
rnacentral:rRNA from 1 species